rnacentral:rRNA from 1 species
GAUGAACGCUGGCGGCGUGCCUAAUACAUGCAAGUCGAGCGAACAGAUGAGGAGCUUGCUCCUCUGACGUUAGCGGCGGACGGGUGAGUAACACGUGGAUAACCUACCUAUAAGACUGGGAUAACUUCGGGAAACCGGAGCUAAUACCGGAUAAUAUAUUGAACCGCAUGGUUCAAUAGUGAAAGACGGUUUUGCUGUCACUUAUAGAUGGAUCCGCGCCGCAUUAGCUAGUUGGUAAGGUAACGGCUUACCAAGGCAACGAUGCGUAGCCGACCUGAGAGGGUGAUCGGCCACACUGGCACUGAGACACGGUCCAGACUCCUACGGGAGGCAGCAGUAGGGAAUCUUCCGCAAUGGGCGAAAGCCUGACGGAGCAACGCCGCGUGAGUGAUGAAGGUCUUCGGAUCGUAAAACUCUGUUAUUAGGAAAGAACAAAUGUGUAAGUAACUAGGCACGUCUUGACGGUACCUAAUCAGAAAGCCACGGCUAACUACGUG